GACGAACGCUGGCGGCGUGCUUAACACAUGCAAGUCGAACGGAGCACUUAAUGAGAUUUCUUCGGAUUGAUUAUUUUGUGACUGAGUGGCGGACGGGUGAGUAACGCGUGGGUAACCUGCCCCAGACCGGGGGAUAACAGUCGGAAACGACUGCUAAUACCGCAUAAGCGCACAGUGCCGCAUGGCACGGUGUGAAAAACUCCGGUGGUCUGGGAUGGACCCGCGUCCGAUUAGUUAGUUGGCGGGGUAACGGCCCACCAAGACCGCGAUCGGUAGCCGACCUGAGAGGGUGACCGGCCACAUUGGGACUGAGACACGGCCCAGACUCCUACGGGAGGCAGCAGUGGGGAAUAUUGCACAAUGGAGGAAACUCUGAUGCAGCGACGCCGCGUGAGCGAAGAAGUACUUCGGUAUGUAAAGCUCUGUCAGCAGGGAAGAUAAUGACGGUACCUGACCAAGAAGCCCCGGCUAACUACGUG
rnacentral:rRNA from 1 species